rnacentral:rRNA from 1 species
CCAAACUGUUGCCUCGGCGGGAUCUCUGCCCCGGGCGCGUCGCAGCCCCGGACCAAGGCGCCCGCCGGAGGACCAACCAAAACUCUUAUUGUAUACCCCCUCGCGGGUUUUUUACUAUCUGAGCCAUCUCGGCGCCCCUCGUGGGCGUUUCGAAAAUGAAUCAAAACUUUCAACAACGGAUCUCUUGGUUCUGGCAUCGAUGAAGAACGCAGCGAAAUGCGAUAAGUAAUGUGAAUUGCAGAAUUCAGUGAAUCAUCGAAUCUUUGAACGCACAUUGCGCCCGCCAGUAUUCUGGCGGGCAUGCCUGUCCGAGCGUCAUUUCAACCCUCGAACCCCUCCGGGGGGUCGGCGUUGGGGAUCGGCCCUUUACGGGGCCGGCCCCGAAAUACAGUGGCGGUCUCGCCGCAGCCUCUCCUGCGCAGUAGUUUGCACACUCGCAUCGGGAGCGCGGCGCGUCCACAGCCGUUAAACACCCCAAACUUCUGAAAUGUUGACCUCGGAUCAGGUAGGAAUACCCGCUGAACUUAAGCAUAUCAAUAAGCGGAGGAA